rnacentral:tRNA from 3 species
GGCAAGGUGGCCGAGUGGUUAUGGCGCUGGUUUUAGGCACCAGUGGGAAACUUCGCGGGUUCGAAUCCCGUCCUUGUCA